rnacentral:siRNA from 1 species
UGUAGCGGCUACAUGUCUCCC